CUCUUAAACUCUCGAACCUCUCUCUCACAACUCACUUUCAUCCUCUCCCUCCCUAUUCGUGAGCAAACCCACACCCACACCUGCAAUGAACACCAUCACCCACCACUAGUGGUAGACCUUCUCCCUCCCUCAUUCUCUGUGAAGCACAGAGAAUGAGUCCAACAACCCUCUCCGGUGAAUCUCCACCACCUCUGACAUGGGUAAGCCUAUGAAACACUCCAAAUACUUCUCUUUUCGUCCCUGUAGUUCAUUUCUGACUAUGUUGGUGUAAUUUGGAUAUGAAACUACGAAGAAACACCUCAGAUGAGCAAAACCCAGAUUCCUAGCUUCAACCGUGGGUUUUCAUAUGACUUUUUCGGCCAACUCUGACCACUACUUGGGAAACCAAAGGUGCAAUUGUUUAUGGCGUUUCUAUCCUCUCUAGUUUGCACGGCUCUUCGACGGUGAAAUAUCUAACUUAGAAUCGAAGCGUACAAUCCCAGCAUCAAGGCACUCUCGCAUCGGCAUCUUCGAGUCCUCUUGGUUUAGGACCCAUCCCUUUUGUUCAUUAAAUUUUAUAUUAUUACUUUUAGUGUCUCGGAUUAGUUGUAUGCUAUGAA